GUGUUAAAAUUUUUUAUAUUACUUUUUAUAUAAAAAAAUAUAAUACAUCAAAUACACUUAAAACAUUAAAAUAAAUAUAUUCUAACAAAUUGAAAAUAUAUCAAAAAAAUAUUUAUACUUAAAUAACACUAUGAUAGUCAUAACUUAUCAAGGAAAUAUCUCUAAACUAUUAACAAAAAUAACAAUAAAACAAUAUUUAUACAAUACCCAAAUAAUAAUGAAAAAAUAGUGGCAACAUGACAGCAAAAUAACAUCAAAAUAGCAGCAAACGAUAACAAACGACAAUAAAAAAAUUAGGCGCAUUCAGGUUGGGCCAAGUAUAGUCCGAGCCAAAGAAAUCUUUCUCAUUUUUUGAACUUACAUUUUUUAUCCAAAUUUUUUAUUUUUCGAAUUUUAUUUUAAGUCUGAACGGGUGACCCAGCCUCUAGAAGCGGCAAGUGUAGAGCUUGAUUCAAGUAGGACAGCUUGUUAGAUACAAGUCCAUACUUGCUUUAUUUUGGCUACCGUAAUUUGUGGUGGAUUUAUGAUGGGCUUAUGCAUACCUAAAUUAUGCACCGUUUUCUUUGAACAGUAAAACUUGUUUAUUAAAAGCAAAAAAAAAAAAAAAACCUAAUAAGUUGUAGACUAUAAUUCAACUUGUGUUUUGAAAAUUGUGGUAAUCUCCACAGUCCGAAUUUCCCGACAAAUUUGGCACAAAAUUCGAAAUACAAGCUUGGUUAAAAUUUGCUGCUAGUCCUUGUAUUUGUAUAAAAUUUGAGAUUUGAUUUUUAUACUUUAAAUUUUAAAAAUUUAAUCCUUCUACUUUUUUCAAUUUUAAAAUUCUAGUCCAAUUAUUAUUUUCAUUGGUAGUUUAUAUCAAAAAUUGUUAAUUUAAAGCAUUUUUUUGUCAAUCAUAUACCAUGUCAUAUGAGGAGAACCUAAUCAAAAUUUUAAGUUAAUAAACUUUGGCAACAUGAUUUUAAUGACUAAAUUGAGAUUAUUAAAUAAAAGAAAGUAGAAAGACUUAAAUUUUAAAAUUUUAAGUAUAAAAGUUAAAUUUCAAAUUUUGUUAAAUCACAAUAACUAACACCAUAUUUAAACCUAAAAAGUUAUUCAAACAUCAAUGCCUUCUGUUAAAAGUUUUCAUAAAACCAACAUACAACUAACCAAGGGCGAAUAAAAAGGGGUAGGCGGGGUCCCUAGUUUCCAAAAAUGACAAUUGCAAUUUUGCUCCUUAUAAAUUAUUAAAUUAUAAAUUUCCAUAUGAUAAAAUUUUACUUUGUCCCCUCAAAAAUAAAAGAAUAUGUUUAGUCCUUUUAAAAAAUGAUGAAGUUAUAAAGUAACAUAAGAUAAAUUUAUAUUUUGACCUCUAAAAAAUUUAUAAUUCAAUUUUGACCAGUCCUAAAACUUUUUCUAGAUUCGCCCUUGCAACUAACAGUUUUCUUUCAAAAAUGAAAACUACUUUAAAGUAUUUUUUUUAUGUCAUGAGAAUGCAAUAUGCCAAACACAAGUGUAACACCCCUUACCCGUAUUCGAUGCUGAAAUAGGAUACGAGGUAUUACCAGAACACAUAUACUUUUAACCAUAUUAAACCGAGUUGUAAAAUUUCAUCUAAACUAAAACUUUCAAAUUGUUAUUCUUGAUUUGCUAAUUAGGGUUUACGUGGCCCAAUAUACUCACAAUCUUUCACUUCCUCGUCAUAUGAAUUUAUAAAUUUCCACUUAUUUGUUGAAUUCAUCACGAGUACCUGAGUUGAUUCGUUUCAUUACAUAUUCUCAUGUCGUCACAUUUUCCUAUUUAACUAUUGUAAUAUAUCAAUUACUCAAUAUCUCAUAAGCUAAGUGUCACAUAUACAUUAUCCAUUCAUCUCCCAUACAACUAUCAAUAUUAGCCACAAAGAUAUUACAAAUUUUCUCUAUUCGAUGUUAAACCAAAACGUGUUACUUCAUUACCAACUAACCUUACUAAAUAUACACCUUAUACUAGCCCAAGUGUUUAACCAUUCACCCAUGACAUAAAUAUAUUUUAUCUAUUAUUGCGGAAUAUAGAUGUGCUACCCAAAUCAUAAUUCACCUCGCAUAGUAACCGAGUUAAUUUUUAUCAUGUGUCAAAUAAAUUACAAAACAAGUUAUAUAACAAAAUAUAGAUACAUUUGAAACCUCACCAAUAAACAAAUUCUCAUGGCAUUAAAUAAUCAUCACGUAUUAAAGACAAACGUACUUGACAUUUCCAUCACAUAAACCGAAUUAAUCAGUGCAACCUCAGUGAUGUAAUCAUUCUUUUAACUUACUUAACCAAGCCAAAUUAUACCAUCAUCUCACACAUAGAAUGACCCACCUAUCAUACUUCUCAAUUAUGUCACUUAAUAGACCAAGUAUACCUAACAUUUAUCAUCAUGAUCAAUCCACAACCAAAAUACAUCCAUAUAUCAAAAUUACUACACACACACAUAUAUAUACCAUGACUAAAUUUCUUAAACAUUUGAUCAAUUGCUUUUCAAUACCGCAAUAAUUCUUUCAAUACCAAUACGUAUUUACCAUUCAAUUUACCAUUGACCGAUUAUAAUCGGGCAUAUAACCAUUUAUACACAAUUCAUUCAUAUAUUUUAUUGUCCUCCUCCUCUUCAUUUCACAUCCUUAAUGUAUAUAACACGCUUAAUAACAUUAUACAUAAUUUCAUUACUCACUUAUAUGUAAAUUUAAAGCUGCCCAUCUGAGUCAGAGUCACUAAAUUAUUUUAUUCUGGAGCUACGGAGCUCCAAAUUAAAAUCCGUUAAUUUUACCUAAAACUAGAUUCAUAUAUAUUUUUACCAUAAAAAUUUCAGAAUAUUUAACUUAGCCAAUAAGUACAGUUUAUUCUUUAAAGUUUCCCUUGUUGCACUGCUCGACAGUUCUGACCUCUCUUCACUAAAAAUUAAUUAUCUCAUUGUACAGAAUUCGGAUGGUAUUCCUGUUUAUUUCUCAUGAAAAUAGACUCGUUCAGAAUUCUAAAAAUAUAAAGUUUAACCCAUAAUUAAUUUUCUACAAUUUUUAAUGAUUUUCCAAAGUCAGAACAGGAGAUUCUGAAAUUAUUCUAACUCUGCCUCACAAAAUUUAUUAUAUUUCAUGACUUACAAUUUCAUUGCUUACACCGUUUCUUCUAUGAGAAACUAGACUCAAUAAGCUUUAAUUUCAUAUUUUACUCAUCUUCUAAUUCGAUUCCCACGAUUUUUGGUGAUUUUUCAAAGUUGGUACACUGCUGCUGCCCAAAACUAUUUUAGUGCAAUAUAUUGAUUACCAUUUUGACCCUAAACUUUUAACACAUGACAAUUUCAUCCCUAGGCUCGGAAAAUGAAAUUCUUGUAAUUUAAUCAUUGAUCCAAGCAUAAUAAUUCUCAUAAAUAUCAAUAAAAGCCCAUGGAUUCCAUGAAAUUUCAGAAUUUUUCCACAAUUUCAAUACUUUUCAACUUAAUCCCUAAAACAUGUUUUCAUCCAAAAUUCUUUAAUAAAACACCUUUAAACAUCCAUUAACAUAUCAAUUUCAUCAUCAAAUAACAAAAAUAAUAUGAAGUUAUCAAUGGUAUCUUCCUAAACUUUCAAAAAAAUGAGAAACUAGUAGAAUACUAAGUUGGACCUAAUUGUAAAAGUUUAAAAAUAUAAAAAUUUCAAGGAAAAAGUAAGAAUUACACUUACUUGAAGCUAAAAUAUGGAAGACCAGCUCUAAACCCUCUUCCAUGACUGUUUCUCACCGAAAUUUCAAGAAGAAAUGGUCUUAAAAUCCUUAAAAUAAAUUUUGGCCACAUAAACUUUAUUGUAAUUCCAAUUUUGUCCUUAAAUACAUAAAAAUCUUUGAUUUUUUUAACGGUAUGCCGUCUCUGCCACUUAAGUUGGUCCAUUUACUCUUUUAGUCAUUUCUUAUUUAAUUGUUAAGUUAUUUAAUCACUUUAGCAAGUUUUGCAUCUUUUCAAUUUAGUUCUUUUUAAUUAAUUGACUGCCGAAACGUUAAAAUUUUCUGACUAAACUUUAACACUACCAUAUUGACACUCCGUAAAUAUUUAUAAAAAUAUUUACAGCUCGAUUUAUAACAUCGAGGUCUCGAUACCUCUUUUCCUCAAUUCCUUGACUUAAUAAAUUUUUAUAAAACACAAAUUACUAAUUCAAAAAAUCUCUUAAAAAUCAUAUUUGACUCGUAAUUAUUAAAUAAUAAAAUUUACUAGCUUAUUUUCUGAAUUUGGUGGUCUCGUACCACUAUUUUCAACAUUUCUAAAAAUCGGGCUAUUACAACAAGAUUUUCAAUAUUUACAAUAACAACAAGAUUUCUAAAUUGCAAUGCGAAAUUUUUAAUGAAUAUUUAAGAAAUUCAAGAUUUUAAAAAUAAAAAUUCUAAUUUCUUCAAGGAUUUGUAUUAAUCAACCCCUAAAUAUUAUUUCUCAAUCAAGAUGCUAGAAAUCUCAUACAAAAUCAAUAUAAUUAAAGCACUAAAAAAUAUAAUCUUACAUAAAAAUCCUAAUCAAACACAAGCAAGGUCAUAAUCUUAUAUUUUUAGAGAUUAAUCAAUAAAUUUUUAGAGAUCAACCUAAGAGUAUUUGAAAGAUUAAUCACCUAUGGAUAGCGUUUGUUAUGAUGGAAAGUGAUAACUUUUCUGGGAAUUUAAUUAGUUGAAAAGUAAUUCUAACGUUGGUAUGUCAAGGUUUUUUUUACUUUGUUUAGAAUCUAACUUUCCCAUUAACAUGACAAUGUGGUUCCCAUGAUAAAAAGCAAAAAAAUUAAAAAAAAUGCUAAAGAUGAUAUUAACUUCUUCUUCUUUUGGGUCUAGGGUAUUAAUCUAUUAAAUGUAAAAAAAAAUAUCUCUUUUCCGCUACCAACUCUAUUGUCAUUUCAACCGAUUCGUACAAAGUAAGUUUUUUUUUCCUAAUUUUAUUUUCAAUAGGCAUAUUUAGGGUGGGUUUGGAUGGGCGGUGAGUUUACCUGCGGUCAGUGUAAAAACAGCGGUGGCGGUAAGAUUAGAUACUGUAGCGUGAGACAAAAAGUAAACUAAACGUACCGCACCGUACCCAAUCGCCCAUCCAAACCCACCCUUAAUCCUCUACUAGUAUAUUGUUUGCAUAUUAUAUUUAUUUUCUAUUAUUUUCCUCUUUUUUCUUUUCGUAUUUUGAUUGAAGUUUCAAUUUUAUCAUAGUAUUUAUUCUAAAAAAAGUUUUAUAUAUGUAGGAUUUUGUAUAAGCUUUGUUAUAUUUAGAAAAUACAUGCAAGAUAAAUUUGAAAUAGGUUUUUUUAAUUAAAAUUAUAAAUUAAAACAAUAAUAUUAAAAACUAUCAUUUAAAAUAUUAUUAUUAAAUAUUUAAUCUAAGAUUUAUUACUAAUAAAGUUUAUUGUAAGAUAUUAAAAUAUUAAAUACAUGAAUAUAAUUUUUUAUUUAAUAAGAUUAAAUUUAUAAAUUUUCAUUUCAGUCCCAAGAAAAUAUUUAGUGAACUAAAGGAGAUAAUGUGAUUUUUCAAAUAUUUUAAUGAAUACUUCAAAUAGAAUUUUCAAUAAAGGGAAUUGAAAGAUUGAAUUGUUUUGGUAUUUCCCAGAAUUAAUUAGGUUUCAAUUUCAGGUGUAGAUAAUAAUCAAAGUGUAAAAAAAAUGAAUGAGUAAAAGCUCCAUUGAUGAAUCUUUCUCAUAAAACAAACAUGACCAACAAUAAGCAACCUGCUUUCAUCAUAAUAUCAAAAUAUAGUUGAAUUAUCAUAUCAAUUGCAUGUUCUCUAACUUCUUAACCAAUGAAUUCCUACCCAUGUCUAAUGAAAAAAAAUAGCACUAAAUUAACCACUAAUUUCAUCAUACCAGAGAUUUGAUUGAUCUUUCGCAGAAAAAAAAAAUAGACAUCAAUGGAGCAAAAAGGCAAACAUAAAGAAGAAACAUUUUUGCAGCACCCAGUUUUGUUCAUCGUUGUGUUGGUUUUCGGUUUCGUUUUGAUGGAUCCUUUCGAAAUCGGUCCGGUCGGUGGGAUCGAGUUUAGGCCUGUGAAACAUGACAUUGCACCAUACAAGGAAGUGAUGGCAAGUUGGCCAAGAGACAAUAAAAGCCGGUUGGGAAAUGGGAAACUCGAGUUUGUCGACGAAGUUUUCGGUCCCGAAUCGUUGGAGUUUGAUGGAUUCGGUCGUGGACCUUACACUGGAUUAGCCGAUGGGCGUAUUGUUCGAUGGAUGGGUGAGGAUAUCGGAUGGGAGACAUUUGCCAUUGUUACAUCAAACUGGUGAGCUUCUUUCAAUCAUUUUGUUUAGAACUUUGAUGGAAAUGAAAAUCUACGGAUCUUUGUUGCUCGGAUUCUUCAUUUUUCGAGUCUGAGCAACAUAUGGUCGGAUAGAUGAUAAGAUAUAACCUUAAUGCUAAUUUGUGGUGAACAUGUACAUAAAAAAAAUAAAGGUCAGAGAAGUUAUGUGCUAGAGGUGUGGACUCAACAACAUCAAAGCAAUGGAAACAUGAGAAAUGGUGUGGUAGACCAUUAGGCCUAAGGUUCAACAAAGACGGUGGAGAUUUGUACAUUGCUGAUGCCUAUUACGGAUUGCUCGUGGUUGGACCGGGAGGCGGACUCGCCACACCAUUAGCGACUCAUGUCGAAAGGAAGCAAAUACUGUUUGCUAAUGAUCUGGAUAUCCAUAAAAAUGGUUCAAUCUUUUUUACUGACACUAGUAGAAAGUACAAUAGAGUGUAAGUGAACCAAAUUCUUAAACAUAUAUAUACACACAUGCAUACAUAUUAUAUAUAUAUACAAUGAAGGGUUACUUACAGAAGAUUAUUGAGCAGGUAUCAUUUCUUCAUAUUGUUAGAAGGCGAAACGACCGGAAGGAUUCUCAGAUAUGAUCCUCCAACAAAGACAACUCAUGUAGUUUUGGAUGGUUUAGCUUUUCCAAAUGGAAUUCAGUUAUCUAAGGACCAGAGUUUCCUUUUAUUCACUGAGACUAGCAAUUGCAGGCAUUUCCCAUUUUCAUUUUUCCGCUCUUUCAAGUUUUUAUUUCUUUUCUUUUUUGGAUACAAAUGAGACCCUAAUCUUAAAAUAAAGAAAAGAUUGCAAAUGUUAAGAUUUGAAUCUUAAAACUACUUGCAUACCCAUUGAAUGCAUUUUGAUACUGAUUUUUGCCAUGGUGACAGGCUAAUGAAAUACUGGGUUGAAGGUCCAAGAGCAGGGACAACGGAACUGGUUGCACAUUUGCCUGGUUUUCCAGACAACGUAAGAAUAAACGACAGAGGUCAAUUCUGGGUAGCCAUAGAUUGUUGUAGAACACAAGCACAAGAGAUCCUGGUUCAUAACCCAUGGAUGAGGAGUUUAUACUUCAGAUUACCCAUUAAAAUGAAGAUUUUAGCAAGAAUUAUGGGGAUGAAGAUGUACACCGUAAUCUCGCUUUUCGACGAAAAUGGAGAAAUUGUCGAAGUCCUUGAAGAUCGAAAAGGUGUGGUGAUGAAGUUGGUGAGUGAAGUUAGAGAAGUUGAAGGGAAACUGUGGAUUGGAACUGUGGCUCAUAAUCACAUUGCGACUUUGUCUUACCCUUAAAAUCUCUUUCAUCUCAUUUUACAUGCCAUUUCUCUUAUAUAUUAUGUUUGUCUUAAACUCUUAUAACUAUGUGUUCUAUAGCCAUCUUUUCCUUCGAUUAUGAACUUUUUAAUCCCUGUUUUUCUCUAGUUUUAUCAAUGAAUUUCCAGCAAUGCUAAGAAAACCGGAUUAAAGAUCAAUGAAUUUCAAUCAAUUGGUUUAAUGUUAGAGAUGCACAUUAUCAACUUUGAUUCAAAAAAAUAUGAAUUGGGUUCAAUGUAAUUUGUUCAAAGUUCAAACUAGCCCGUUUUCUUUACUCCGGUAAGGCAGAUGGGCAACUAAACAAUGUUGUCAAACACUUACAAGACAAGCUUAAACAAUACUACAAUAGUCAUAAAAACUAGACAUAAACAAAAGCAUUGUGCCCUGCAAAAUUCAUAUAGGAACUUUGUAAGCAUCAUAUGCGAAUAAAGCUCGCACGACAAGUUCUUCCCUAUCUAACGCCUCAACAGCAGCUCGGCCCUUCAAACUAGCGAUGAAAGCAAAUGUAACAGAUCAAAAUCGGAUAAUUCCAGAAAAAGAUAUAUUGGAUGAUUAUAUAUACCUAGAAAUAAAUGUUAUAUAGAAAUACCUAGAGAGAUAAAAGAGAUGUGAAAGAAGAAAUGUCCUAUCUAACAAUGGACUGUUAACCAAAAUUUGGAACCAAUUGUGAAGAGCCAUGAAUUCCUGGCCCUACGGACCUUUAACUCCUCAAUCAUUUGAUGCCGUUGAGCUGACACCUGAUGAAGAUGGACCAUCUCUUCGGUUGGGGGAAGGCAUGGAUCCUCUAACUCUCAUCUCCCCUGCUUGCUGUUGGAGCUCUUGUUGCAGCUGAAGUUGCUGCUGAAGUUGAUGCAGUUGAUGCGGUGGGAACUGAUGCUGAUGCUUUUGCAAUUGAAUCUGUAGUUGCUGGAACUGCUGGGCCGUUAGAAGAGCCUGCAUAGCAUGAUUAUUUGGGAUGUAUUGCUGACUAGCUCCAAAAGAUGCAAAGUUCAUCAUUGGUCCACCAUUUGGCAUAGGUUGGGCAGUCAGCACCUUCAGAUGUUGGAUUUCUUCUUUCAGUGCAUCGUUCAAUGCUAUCAGAUAACAGAAGACAAAAAAAUCAUCAUAAUAUGGACAACAAUAAGAGCAGCUCAAAACAUUAACAAGGUGCUCAUAGUAGAACAAAUGGCGUUAUAUUCCCAACUAAUAUGCAACCCAAAAGUAGAAAACCUACUUUAAGAACCAUUCCAUUACAUGGACAGUCUGAGGUACUGUAAGUGUAAAAUGGAUAUUAACAAGCAGUCCGCAAAAGGUGUAACCUACCAUAACAUCAGUUAUAAUAUGAAUAUCCAAGGGAAAUAAUGUAUUGGGGUAUUUGCAAUAAAUACUCUUUAUACGUCAUCACUGCACUUGAAUUGAUUCAUCAAGAAAGACUAACAAGCAGACCUCUCAGUCCCUCUCUUCCCUCAUACAUAUGGCUUCAUUACUAUUAAAUAUCUAUGAUGGUAAGUAUAUGUAAAGAACACACAUCCAAUGUGUUGUGGAUUCAGUCUAUUUUUUCUCUCUUUGACUGCCCAUCUGCUAAAAUUCUCACGCGCAAAACCUUUCAAAUCCCUUUCCCUUAUAAGGAGGAUCAUAGACAAAAACAAUAAGGAAAGAAAAGGCAGUAAGACAAAGAUUUAGGUAUUUGAACAAAAUAUUUUGAGAGGUGCUCACAAUCUUGCAAGUAAACCUGUUGCUCCAUUGUUUGUAACCGCAGUUUCAACUCACUAUUUUCAGCACUCAUACCACUGGAGUCUCUCUGCUCAUAAGUUACCAUGAGAAGAGUCAAAUGAACCAUUAGAUAAAAAGACAUAAAAGUAAAAAAGAAAAGAAAAUGAAGGUCCAAUGGAAUAUAUAUAUACAUAUUUAUAACCAAUGGAACCCUUGAAUGUGGAAAACAUUUAGCAAAGACACGAAGAGAGGGGCCAGAGCUGAUGCAAAUACCUGUAGUAGAGUCAGCUGAGCAGCGAGCGACGUUGCUUCUGUUUGCAAUGUCUGUAUUUUCCGUUCAAGCUCAGCUAUAUACCGCAUCUUUCUUUCCUUUGACCUCGCAGCAGACUGCCUAUUCGCCCAGAUCCUAUUGCAUAGCAAAGACAAAAAAACAUAUCAGGAUAACAACAUACAUUUCAGUUCUGGAAGAGAUGAAAUCUAUAGAAAGGUAGAGGUUCCUUAAACCAGAGGGGAAGAAAAGUAACGGAAGGGGAACAGGAGGAGAAUUAUCAAGAAACACGAACACAGGAAGAUAAAAGAUAUCAACUAUAACAUAUGAAACUACACUAGUUUCAAGUUAAAACAUUGUCUCAUAGUGAUCUCCGCCACACAUCUUUAUAGAAACGGUUUCGAGUUAAAUCAUAGUCUCAUAGUGAUCUCCGCCACCAUAUCUUUAUCGAAACGGUUCCAAUUUAAAACAUAAUCUCAUAGUGAUCUCCGCCACCACAUCUUUAUUGAAACGGUUUCAAGUUAAAACACAUCUUUAUCGAAACGGUUUCAAUUUAAAACAUAGUCUCAUAGUGAUCUCCGCCACCACAUCUUUAUCGAAAUGGUUUCAAGUUAAAACAUGGUCUCAUAGUGAUAUCCGCCACCACAUCUUUAGCGAAACGGUUUCAAUUUAAAACAUACUCAUAGUGAUCUCCGGCUCCGCCACCGCAUCUUUAAAGAAACGGUUCCAAGUUAAAACAUGGUUUCAAUUUAAAACACAUAUUUAUCGAAACGGUUUCAAUUUAAAACAUAGUCUUAUAGUGAUCUCCGCCACCACAUCUUUAUCAAAACAGUUUCAAUUUAAAACAUAGUAUCAUAGUGAUCUCCGCCACCACAUCUUUAUCGAAACGGUUUCAGUUUAAAAUAUAGUCUCAUUGUGAUCUCUGCCACCACAUCUUUAUCAAAAUGGUUUCAACCAGACGACAAAGCACUUAAUGCCAAACUUUAAUAACAACUACGAAGUUAAUGACAUUAUAUGAAGCACAAUUGCUUCAAUAACAGGUAAUACAUUCAUAUUAAUUCUACAUUCAGUCAUGAGUUACAUUAUGCUUUCGUUCCAAAAUAUAGUGACCAAACUCAUUGUCAUCAUUAAACAUUAUUGCCAAAACCCCACAAACUUUCCUUAUAAACGCGAAUUUUUAAGUGAAUUCAUAACAAAAGAAACCGGUAUGGCAGUAAAAUUCCAUUCCCUUAGCAAAUAUAAGAAAUUGAAAUGAAAAACAAGAUACCUCUUAGCACGCUUGGGAUCAAUAAGAGCAAGCUCAGCAAGCUUAGCAGCGGACAUUGCUUUCUUAGAAUCAGCAGGCGUAACCUCAUCCGAACCAGAGAGGAGCAUUUCGGGCUUAAUACUUGUCGACCCAUCCAUCGACUGGCUAUGUUGGUGCCUAAUUCUAGGCUUCUCAGAAGACCCAACACCAACACUCGCAUUUUCCUCACCGGACGUUGCCGUCCCUGCUCCCAUACUCACCGCAGCCGAUGGACCAGAAUUUGGAGCAGUCGUUGUCAACGACUUGCCAACCUGAAACAUUGAGGUGACGGAAGAAGAAUUGAACUUAUCGAUAUCGAGAUACAUAGACAACAUAUCGUCCUCCGUUUCAUCGGAAUAGGAAGGCCCGUCGGCUGCCCCAACGACGCCGAGAUCACCGUCGAAGUUAAUAUCAUCAGGAAGAGUUAUGAUUUCGGAAUGGGCACGGCGGUGACCUAAAUUCUUCGGUGGAUUAUCAGGCAUUUUGCUUAUAUCGUGACUAAAACUAUUCGAAUCCGAAGUUUGACCAAAAUUUCCCGUUUCAGAUAUCGCAUUUGAAGUGCUUGCAGCAUUUCCGGAAGAUGAAAACCCCGGAACUCGACCUGACAUUGGCGGUAAACAUGGAGAUUUAUCCUUUUCCAUUUUAGGAAAAAUAUGAACUUGAAAUUCCGAAAAGGAAUAAAGAAAACCCAAUGGAGACGACUUUCACAAAGUAAUUACGUAGAAAGGAAAACCAAACUGGGAAUUCGGUGAAGAAAAUGGAAAACAACAGCAAAGAAAGAAGAUUUUCCGGGAAAAUGGAAUGGAUUUUCAGGGACAAGGAAAUCUAACAGUAGAUCUUCAAAUUAAAAAAAAAAAAGAGAAAGAUGGAAACAACCCACUAAGGAAAAUAGGAAAUGGGAAGGAAAGGAAAAGAGGAAUCGGGGAAAGCCAUUGUCAUCAUGAAUGAGGAGAACAGAAUCGAAUCAAGGAAAUCACAUGGUGGGAAAUGUUUUUCCAGAGAAAAGAGAAUGAGAAAUCUGAGACAGUGCUAUUUUAUAUAAAAUGAACAUAAAAGGGAGAUUUUUUUUUAUAUAUAUAUAGAAUAAGGGAAUUAUUAUAUGGAUUUUGACUAAAUUACAAAAUAAUACCUAUAGGCCGAUUUUUUGAAAAAUUAUUCUAAUGGGCCGUUUUUGCUAAAACACUUUCAGUUGAUGUUGUUUUCAGGGAAAGCUGAGAAAAACGCUUCUAGCGGGAAGUGAUUUUCUUCACUAACCAGUAAAGCGCUUCUAGCUCAGCGCGCUAAGUAAAAACGUGUCCAGUUCAACAUGUUCCCCUAACAAUCACUUUCAAUGGCUAUUUAAAUAGUCGUUGCCCCUCAACGGUAAAAAAAGAAAAAAACUAUAAACCCCCACAUUUCUCACAUUCUCUCUUAAUUUUUUUACUAAAAUUUUAUUUCUAUCUAAAUUCUAUUUUCUAUUAAUAUUUUCAAGAAAUAUUUUUUAUUAAAAAUUAUUUCGUGUUCUAUAUAAUUUAGUAAUGGUCAGGUCUCUAAUCUGUCUUGAUAACAAGCACAUCUCCAUCAACCAAUUGAAAAUGAUAAGAAUAAAUUUUAAUCUUGUUUAGUUCUUUUAUUUCAUUGUUAUAUUUUAACUUAAUAUUUUUUAUAAUUUUUACGUAAAUAGGCAGAAGAUCGAAUUUUACAAUGCCAUAUUCGUAAUUUACCCGGUCCUCCAUCACCGUUGGCCGAACCAUACUUGAAGGAAACUGAUUUUUGGCACGUGGCCCUUGUAGGCAAGGGGUGUAAGCUGGACCCGAAACUCAUAAGCGCGUUGGUGGAGAGGUGGAGACCCGAGACGCACACAUUCCGUCUUCCAUGUAGCGAGUGUACUAUCACUCUAGAAGACAUUCAUUUACAGUUGGGGUUACCCGUGGAAGGGUCGGUAGUCAUCGGGUUUGUUCAGUCUGCUGAUUGGGGAGCCAUAUGUGGUGAACUUUUGGGUACGGCUCCAAAGACGAUUUAUAGAGGUUGGAUCGAAAUGGCUUGGAUACGAAAAAUUUCCAUGGAGCUGGUUGAGGAUUCGAUUAAAGUCCAAAUAGAACGAUAUGCUCGGGCGUACAUCCUUCAGAUCAUCGGGGGUAUCCUGAUGCCGGAUGAGUCACGAAAUCUCGCCCAUCUCAGGUGGCUGUUGAAACUCGUCGAUUUUAGAGCAAUAGGUGAACUCAGUUGGGGGUUCGCUGUGUUGGCGACAUUGUACCAAGAGAUGUGUCGGGCGACGCAACCAGGAAAAAUAAAAAUUGGUGGUUGCCUUUUACUACUACAAUCAUGGGUUUGAUUCCGAUUUCCAUUUUUACAUCUUCGAGUGAACUACUCGUAUAUAUUUUCACUCGUAAUAAGGUAAAAUUUAGUAGAUAUUACCAUGAUUAAAUUGAUUUAAAUUAAAAUUAUUAUGCUAAUAAGUUAUUUAAAUAGGUGGAACCAUGCGCUAAGUCACGUGGGAUUACCUACUGAGCUUCAAGAUAUACGGCUUCUAUUAGACCAACGAUCGGAAGCGGAGGUAUGUAUUUAUUUAAUUUUGAACUAUAUACAAAUAACGUAGUCGAUUUCGUAUUUAGUAGUGUAUAUAUAUAACUAAUGUUUUUAUCACGUUUAUAUAGUUUGAAUGGACACCAUACGAGGAUCCAAUAAUUCGAGGAGUAAUCCCCGAGGAAUUCUUAGUGAAUACCAAAGUUUGGCACGUAAAGGUCCCAUUGGUAGUGCACGCUACCGUCGAGAUGCACGAGAUCGAUAGAGUGUUGCGACAGUUCGAAUUUCGACAGUCGAUUCCCGUGGCACCUUAAGACCUUGAUGAUUUGCAUCCUAUCAACUUAUGGUGGCCAGAUGAGAAUUGGUCAGUGUUCCACUCCCCACAUAUCAACAUUUGGAAUAAUCGAUAUGAUUUUUUACCUACUCGCCAACCUAUUAUCGUUCCUGAGUUAGCAUGCGAUCCAGAGUACAUGCUAUGGUUUAGGAUCCAUGGCAAGCCAUAUUUGUACGGAGAAGAGGAGAGGCGACAACAUCCCCAUACAAGUAGGCCACGACGGUCCCUUUUAAAUCCAAAGGCUAGUGAGGUGAGUCCAUCAUCAGCGCUCAUGUAAGAACCGACACCGAUGGCCUCAACAUCAAUGCCCACACCACCCUCCGUUCAGUAUGUACCGUCUUGUUCUAGUGCAUAUUCUAACCCUAUCAUCUUCACACAAGCACCAUAUGUUGCACAUUUUUCUGCUUCUAGUCCUAUGCCAGAUUGGACUGUUGGACAUCCAUCCCCGAUGUUUUACACGCCAGGGCCAUCUACUUUCCCGAUAUGUCAACACCGACGAUGAUGUAUAAGCCAUUUAUGUAUGAGAGUCCACUCGUUAUCCCAUCGAUGUAUGAGACUCAACAUAGUUAUGCUCAUUCGUCGUUUGCGACGCAAACACCUCCGGAAUCUUUGUUAUACCAAGGCGAGUCAUCUUCUCAACCACAUAUUCCUAGAUUUAAGGAUGUACAAUGGCAACUGAGAAAACAAGGAUUGCAAUUGAUCGAAGGCGAAGAAGAGGAGCAACCGAUACCACAACCCUGCCCAGAGGCAGAACCAAGAAGAAAUCCAACGCGUAACCAUUGACCACCCCGAUGUGGCACAGAUUCUAAUCGGUGUAUGCACUGAUUAAUUUUAUCAUUGUAUCAAACAUUUAUAUUGUAUCGAUGAUAUUUAUUAUUAUGUUUUUAGAGGAAUAUUGUUUUCAUUUAACAAAAUGCUAGUUGAUAUUUGUUAUCAUUUUACAAAAUUAACGUUGUAAUUUGUUAUAAUUUCACAAAAUGAAAAGCUAAUAUUUGUUAUCAUUUCACAGAACCGCAUGUUUACAUACUAUAAUGGAAUUGAUAUUUGUUUUCUACUUUGCAUAGUCCUUUUGAUGUGGACAUGAUGACAUUGUAUGGCUCGAGUUCCUACAUUACCUGCAUAAUCUCGUUGGUUUGACCUGUCUCGAAUAUCUAUUUUGUCGCGUAUUCAAGUCGACGUCAGUAAAACAUAAAACUUAACCAUAAAACCCUAAAACCCUAAUAGUAAACCUUAAAACCCCUAAAUUUCAUACAAAGCCCUAAUAAAAACUAUAACGGCCCGAUUUAGACCCUAGUUGGACAGUGGUUUCUGGAUCAAAAAUUUGAGUCAGAAAAAUAUUUUAAUAUUAUUUUUGGUGUCUACAGCAUGUUAAUUUAUAUGUGUGAAAAUUUCGUGUGAAAAUUUUAUCGUUUGUGUGCUCGAUUUUAAAAAAAAAAUACUUAAUUGCGUAAAAUACAAAAGUGGCUAGCUAUUUGUUAAAGUGUUAUAUUGCUAUGGCUGUUAUAAUGUGGGACCCUUAUGUUGAUAUUAUACCAUUGAAAUUAUAAGUGGACUUUUAUGGACAUGGUUAGUUAAUUAUUUAAGUAAUUACAAUAAGGUUAAAAUGGUAAAUGGCUUAUUAAUAUGUAUUAAAUAAAAACAAAACCUGAAUUUAAUGUUUCGUUCAUAUUUCUUUCACCGAAAUAAGAAAAGAAAAAGGGGUUUUAAAGAUUUUGUACAUUCGGCCAUGGUCCAAGCUUGAUUCAAGGUUCGUUUUUGCUCGGUUUUUGAUAAUUUUUACGUUUUUGAGAUCGUUGCUUUGUGUUUUAGCUAGCCCAUGCAUUAAUUUUAUGAAUGGAUUAUGAAUUUGAGAUUUUCCAUUGUUGAUAACUUGAUGAUUUUUGUGUUUGAUGAUGAAAAAUAAAUAUAUAUUGUUAGAUUGUCAAGUUUAAUUAAGUGAUUUUUAGUAAAAAUGCCUAUUUAGGAUUAAAUAGAGAAUUUUGUAAAUUUAAGGGUCAAAAUGUGAAAUAAAUGAAAGGUAUGGACUUAUAUGAACUAUUUGUAUAUUCGGACAAGCAUGGGAAAUAUGAAAUUUUGUGUAUUUUGUGAUUUUAUGAAAUAGGGACUAAAAUGUCAAAAAUGUGAAAUUUUAAGGGCUAAAGUGUAAAAUGCCCUAAUUAUGUGUUUGUGGUUUGAAUUGAAUGAAAUGUGUUAUUAAAUAGCCAAAUUUGAAUUUAUAUAGAUCAAGAAUAAAAGAAAUUGGAAUUAGAUCGGGGAAAGUCGAAAGUGGUCGAGUUGUCGAUUCCAUCCGUUCGUUUCCAUACGAGAUAAGUUUGAAAGUGAAUAAAUGAUGUUAAAUUGUAUGUAUUUAUUUUGUACAUAGUCGAAUAGAAUUGUAAGUAUAUAUAACUACAUUGCCAAAUUGAAUUUAGCAUGGAAUGAUUUAUUAUGAGCUUGAAUCAAUCGAAUUACGAUGUCCGAAAGUCCCGAACGAACCAUAGGAAUAGUUAGGAUACAUAUGUCAUGACAUAGGAUUCCGAUAUGUGAUUUCGUGUAAGACCACGUCUGGGACGUUGGCAUUGAUUUGAGAUUUAUGUGUAAGACCUUGUUUGGGACAGUGGCAUCGAUAUUUGAUUUCGUCUAGGACAUUGGUAUUGUAUGAGCUUUUUGAGCUAUCCGAGUAUCCUUAUUGAUUCCGAAUGGUUUAGCAGGCAAUGUUGAGUUAAGAUCGAAUGUGAAAUCGAGCUAAAUGGUUCAGGUACGUGUGAAGUUAAGUGUUCAUGAAAAUAAGGUAAGUAUAGUACUUGAGAUAAUGAUAUAAUUAUGCAUGUUAAAAGAGUGAUUUAUGUGUAUAUGAGAUAGUUUAUAUUCGGCCAAGUUAAAAUUAUAACGCUAAUGUUUAUUUGAUGAUUUAUUUGCUUAUGACUUACUAAGCUAUCCAAGCUUAUUGUGUGUUUGUAUGUUCGUUGUUUUAUAGAUUUUGAAAGUUGGUUACAAGCUCGAGGAUCGUCAAGGAAGUCCGUCACACUAUCGAUCACUAUUUUGGUAUUUUAAAAGCUUGAAUUAUGAACCUAUGGCAUGUAUAGGCUAAUAUUUGUUUUGGUUGAUUUUGAAAUUGUUUAUAAAGCCAUGCGAAAAUGGCUAGAGAUGAUGCUUAUGUUUAUGCAUUUUCGGUCAUGGUAUAUGUGUGGUGUGUUUGGUAUUUGAGUUCGGUAUGAAGUAAUUAUAUAUAUAUGGCUUAUGAUCAGUUCACUUUGGUAAGCUUGAUAUAUGAUUGAUGGAUGAGUUUUGGUUGUGGUUUGUUAUUGGCUUAUUAUUGGAAUGUAUGAGUUGUAAUUUGAAUCGGUAUGAAAGUGGUAAAAGAUGUGCUUAUGUAUUCAGCUAAUGAUGAGUUAUAUAAAUACUUAUGCUUAUGACAUGGUUUAAUUAUUAAGUUGAUGGUUUCAUGCUUGGUACGAAAUGUGUUGAGUAUAUAGAUGGUGG
rnacentral:lncRNA from 1 species